rnacentral:tRNA from 1 species
GGGCGUAUAGCUCAGUUGGUAGAGCAUCGGACUCUUAAUCCGCUGGUCCAAGGUUCGAAUCCUUGUACGCCUACCA